rnacentral:misc_RNA from 1 species
GUAUAUGUUUUUAAAGGCACAAAAGCCAAUAUAAUAAACAUUCUAAUAUAUUUCAUGGAGUGUAUUGAAAACAUAAACUUGAAACAAGAAAAGUCUAACUUUGCAGCGUGACAAUUCUCAGACCGAGUGAAGUAAUUAAACUCUCUCGAGAGGUUCAAAGUUUACAAAGGUGCACAGGAGGUUAAAAAAUGGAGUAAGUGUGCACAUGCUUCUAAAAGCCAGCAACAACCUAUCCCAAAUUUAUUCAAUAAUGAUCCUUCCGCAGGUUCACCUACGGAAA